rnacentral:lncRNA from 1 species
CCCCCUCCUGUGUGCUGUAGAUAUCAUAUAUAAGACUUGCUAUUCAAAUUCCAAACUUCAAAAACAAUAGAAAAUAUCCACACAAAAAAACACUAUCAUAUUGAUUUUUCUGAGUUCGUUGUGCUGAAUUCUCUUGUCUUUUGGUUCUGAAGCUUCACUGAAGCUUUUUGUGUUUGGUUUCGAAUAGUUGUGGUCUUAAUGGAGCCGGUUUAGUUGGAUUUGGGUUCAUUGAGGUGUUCUGGUGAUUUUCCCAGUAGAUUUGUCUUUGAACAAUCUGUUAUGGUUGAUUUUUCUUGUUCUAUUUGUGUUCAAUCGUAAACUGAGCAUCAUUGACAUUAUUCCUGAGCUGGUUAUUGAUUUUUGCCUAUUGCCGCUGUUGCUGACUUAUUCUGCUUCUUUCUAUUUCUAAAUUCCAAGUACUUACCUCCACUUCAAAUGAUGUAUCUCACUAUGAGCUGAACAAAGCCAAAUUGGGAAAGAAAUUGAAGUGCUGGAUGAAUUUCCGUUUUAAUUUACUCACUGCUCACUGUUGUUUAUCUUACACAUUAGAUCGUGUGUAUUAAUUGGACUACAGUUGGACUGUUUGUUUUAAAUGUUGACUGCUCAUUUUAUCAGUGUAUGAGUGAGCAUGUUAUGCUUCACUUAAUGAUAGCUGCAAUCUAGAAUGAUUUAAUAUCAUGCUUAGCUUAAUCUGUCUUUGUUGGAAGUGUUAGGAACUCGGAUAUUUGGUGGUUUAAAAUCAAGCUUUGCUUAAUUGAUUUUCCUCUGUUUAUGUUGAAUAAAAG